rnacentral:rRNA from 1 species
AUGGUUUUUGGAGAUUUUAAUGAAAUCUUAUUUGCUCAUGAGAAGGAGGGGGGAGCGGUUCGGGAGCAACGACUGAUGCAAGGGUUUAGAGAUGCUCUGGCCGAUUGUGAUUUUGAUGAUAUGGGGGCGUCAGGUGAUUGUUUUACUUGGAGCAGAGGUCGGAUCAAGGAGAGACUGGAUAGAGCGGUUUGUAAUUCGAGGUGGAAUAACCUCUUCCCGCAUGCAGGAGUACUGAACGGGGAGAUGACGAAGUCCGACCAUCGACCCAUAGUGGUGAAUACGGAAUAUUAUGCGGAACAUAGUAGACCGAGGGGAGCUAAAAGAAGGUUUGAAGCAAGAUGGCUCAAGGAGGAAACGGUGGAGGAGGUGGUUCGAACGGCAUGGCAACAGGCUGCGAUGCUGGGCAUUGGGCCUUUCAAGCCUAAAGUUGAUGCAGUACAUGCAGAGCUGCACCGGUGGGAUCGGGAAGUGUUGAAGAGACCGUAG